AUUGAACGCUGGCGGCAUGCCUUACACAUGCAAGUCGAACGGCAGCACGGGAGCAAUCCUGGUGGCGAGUGGCGAACGGGUGAGUAAUAUAUCGGAACGUGCCCAGUCGUGGGGAUAACGUAGCGAAAGCUACGCUAAUACCGCAUACGAUCUAUGGAUGAAAGCGGGGGAUCGCAAGACCUCGCGCGAUUGGAGCGGCCGAUAUCAGAUUAGGUAGUUGGUGAGGUAAAGGCUCGCCAAGCCGACGAUCUGUAGCUGGUCUGAGAGGACGACCAGCCACACUGGGACUGAGACACGGCCCAGACUCCUACGGAGGCAGCAGUGGGGAAUUUUUGGGACAAUGGGCGCAAGCCUGAUCCAGCAAUGCCGCGUGCAGGAUGAAGGCC
rnacentral:rRNA from 1 species